UGCCUAACACAUGCAAGUCGAGGGUUUUAGUAGUAAUACGAAGAACACUGGCGCACGGGUGAGUAACGCGUAGAUCAUCUGCCCCCAACACUGACAUAACAGUUCUAACGGACUGCUAAUAUCAGAUGUGAUGAGCAAUCAUUAAAGGGAGACCGGUUGGGGAUGAGUCUGCGUCUGAUUAGGUAGUUGGAGAGGUAACGGCUCCCCAAGCCUACGAUCAGUAACUGGUCUGAGAGGACGAACAGUCACACUGGAACUGAGACACGGUCCAGACUCCUACGGGAGGCAGCAGUGAGGAAUAUUGCACAAUGGGAGCAAUCCUGUUGCAGCGACGCCGCGUGCGGGAAGAAGGAGCUUAGGACGAA
rnacentral:rRNA from 1 species